GGCUACACAUGCAAGUCGAGCGGCAGCGGGAAAGUAGCUUGCUACUUUUGCCGGCGAGCGGCGGACGGGUGAGUAAUGCCUGGGAAAUUGCCCAGUCGAGGGGGAUAACAGUUGGAAACGACUGCUAAUACCGCAUACGCCCUACGGGGGAAAGCAGGGGACCUUCGGGCCUUGCGCGAUUGGAUAUGCCCAGGUGGGAUUAGCUAGUUGGUGAGGUAAUGGCUCACCAAGGCGACUAUCCCUAGCUGGGCUGACAGGAUGAUCAGCCACACUGGAACUGAGUCCCGUCCCACCCUUCUACUGGAGGCAGCAGUGGGGAAUAUUGCACAAUGGGGGAAACCCUGAUGCAGCCAUGCCGCGUGUGUGAAGAAGGCCUUCGGGUUGUAAAGCACUUUCAGC
rnacentral:rRNA from 1 species